AUGGACGAGCAGGAGUUCCGGCGGAUGCUCGACCUCUUCCCCGUCGUCCGAUCCCGCGACUACUGCAAGGAUGAAGUGGAAUCAUCAAGCGAAGGCACCACACAGCAAACACGACCGCAGGAGAUAAAAGGAACCAAACAGAAUGCUGCAGAAGCUCUAUUCCUGCGGAAAUUGAAGAUGGCUGCUGAGAAAAAGGUUGGAGCAACAAAGGCAGAGCUAUUCUGCAAGACAUUCGAGGAAGCUCACGAGAAACUUGUUUACAAAGAACUGGAUCUGGAUGCUGCUCAAAGGUUCCUGAAUGCCUACAAGAGCUGA
rnacentral:rRNA from 1 species